AAGGCUUAUGGUGGAUGCCUAGGUACAAGAAGCCGAUGAAGGACGUGGGGAACUGCGAUAAGCUUCGGGGAGUUGUUUAACAAACGUUAUUACCCGGAGAUUUCCGAAUGGGAUAACCCGGUUGAGGUCAUACUCAAUCAUCCAAUUGUGAAUACAUAGCAAUUGGAAGGGCACGCGGCGAAGUGAAACCUCUCAGUAACCGCAGGAAAAGAGAACAAAAGUUUAUUUCCUUAGUAGUGGCGAACGAAAAGGAAAGAGCCCAAACUCAUGCUGUGUAAGGAGGAUCUGAUUUGUGAUUCGCUUUGCGUUGAACGAUGAUGUGAAUCCGCAGGCUGAUGCUCGUGCAGUAUGAGGGUUGUAGGAACUAUGUGAUUAGGCAUCAGACUAAUCGGGAAGUUAUAAAAUGCGUGUAUAGCAGAACACACCUGGAAAGGUGGACCAUAGAACAUGAAAGUUGUGUAUGCGAAAUGCAAGCAUCUUCUUAGUAGUUUUCCUGAGUACCACGGAGUAAGUGAAAUUUUGUGGGAAUCAGCCAAAACCACUUGGCAAGGCUAAAUACUUCUUGUGACCGAGAGUGAACCAGUACCGUGAGGGAAAGGUGAAAAAUACCCCUGUUAGGGGAGUGAAAUAGAUCUGAAACCAUAAGCUAACAAACAGUUGGAGUCCCUAUAUGGGAUGACAGCGUGCCUUUUGCAGGAUGAUCCAGCGAGUUAGUUGUGUACGGCAAGGUUAAUCUGGAAACAGAGGAGCCUUAGCGAAAGCGAGUUUGAAUAGAGCGAUUUUAGUCGUAUGCACUAUACCCGAAACCAGGUGAUCUAACCAUGUCCAGGGUGAAGAUUGUCGAAAGACGAUUGGAGGCCCGAACUCGUCAAUGUUGCAAAAUUGUGAGAUGAGGUGUGGUUAGCGGUAAUAUGCCAAUCGAACCUGGUGAUAGCUGGCUCUCCCCGAAAUAGCUUUAGGGCUAGCGUUGUAAUUUAAGUACUGGGGGUAGAGCACUAGUUGGUUCCUGGGCCCGUAAGGGUACCAGAUCCAGUUAAACUCCGAAUACCAGUAUGUACAUUACAGCAGUCAGAACUAGGGAGCUAAGUUCCUACGUUCGAGAGGGAAACAGCCCAGAUUAUCGGAUAAGGACCCUAAAUUCUACCUCAGUGGGAAAGGAGGUGAAAUUUCUCAGACAGUCAGGAGGUUGGCUUAGAGGCAGCCACCCUUUAAAAAAUGCGUAAAAGCUUACUGAUGAAGAGAUUUUGCGCCGAAAAUGUAACGGGGCUCAAGGUAGAUUCCGAAGCCGUAACAGGAUAUUAAAGUUCGCUUUAAUAUUUUGGGUAGGGGAGCGUUCUAUACAUGACCAAUUUAGCAGUUGGUACAUCGCUGUGAAGGUGACUCGUGAGGGUUGCUGGAGCGUAUAGAAGUGAGAAUGCUGGAAUGAGUAGCGCUAAGCAGGUGAAAACCCUGCUCACCAGAAGCCUAAGGUUUCCAUGGCCAUGUCAGUCAUCCAUGGGUUAGUCGGCCCUAAGCUGAGACCGAAAGGUGUAGGCGAUGGACAACAGGUUAAUAUUCCUGUACUUCUAAUAUUUGUUAACUAUGGAGAUAAGAGGUUGAAAAGGCAAGCCCCUGAUUAGAUUGGGGUGUAAGCAACAAGUUAGUCUUCUCAGGUAAAUCCGGGAAGAUGUUUUUACCUACGGGUGAAUGAAAACGAGUUGUUAUACAAAGGGGAUCUUCCAGUGAACCGAUUUGUCGGAUUAAUCUCUCAGGAAAAACUUCUAAGUAGCUAAUUUAUUAGCGUCAAAUAUUGGAAACCGUACUGCAAACCGACACAGGUAGGCGGGUGUAAAAGCACCAAGGUGUACGAGCUAAGCAUUGUUAAGGAACUCGGCAAAAUGACUCCGUAACUUCGGAAGAAGGAGGGCCAUACACCAUAAAUUUUAAUUAAUUCGUGGUGAUUAUGGCGGCACAGAAUAGGGGGGAACGACUAGUUACCAAAACUAUAUGAGCCUGCAAACUCGUAAGAGGAAGUAUAGGUUCUGACAUCUGCCCAAUGCCGGAAGGUUAAGGAAGUUGGUUAUCCAAUUUUAUUGGAGAAGCCGAUGACCGAAGCCCUGGUCAAUGGCGGCUGUAACUAUAACGGUCCUAAGGUAGCGUAAUACCUUGUCACUUAAUUAGUGACUUGCAUGAAAGAUGUAACGCUUUCCCCACUGUCUUGACAAUGUGCUCGGCGAAAUUGAAAUGGCUGUGAAAAUGCGGCCUCCCCAUACCAGGACAAAAAGACCCCGUGGAGCUUUACUGCAGCUUUGUGUUGGAACAAAGCCCUUAAUGAAUAGCAUAAGAGGGAGACUUGGAAGCCGGUUCGACAGGACUGGUGGAGUCGUCAGUGUAAUACCUCUCUUUGAGUGUUUUGUUUCUAACUUUUUACUGUUAUCCAGUAGAAGGACAGCGCAUGGCGGGCAGUUUGACUGGGGCGGUUGCUUGCUAAAAGGUACCGCAAGCGCACUAAGGUCCUCUCAAUCCGGAUGGAAAUCGGAUGUAGAGUGCAUAGGCAUAAGAGGGCUUUACUGUGAGGGAGGCAUCCCGAGCAGUUACGAAAGUAGGUCUAAGUGACCCUUUGGUUGCGUGUGGAAGCGCCAUUGAUUAACGGAUAUAAGCUACCCCGGGGAUAACAGGCUAGUCCCUCCCGAUAGUCCAUAUUGACGGAGUGGUUCGGCACCUCGAUGUCGGCUCGUCGCAUCCUGGGGGUGGACAAGCCCCCAAGGGUUGGACUGUUCGUCCAUUAAAGCGGCACGUGAGCUGGGUUCAGACCGUCGUGAGCCAGGUCGGUCUCUAUCCGGUAUGGGCGCGGCAUAUCUGAGGGAGUUUCUCCCUAGUACGAAAGGAUCGGGAGGAGGCAACCCCUAGUGCCCCAGUUGUUCCGCUAGGAGCAUCGCUGGGUAGCUACGUUGUUUUUGGAUAAACGCUGAAAGCAUAUCAAGCGUGAAGCCAUUCCCAAGAUUAGAUAUGCUAGUUUGCUUCGGCAAAUGGGAGGUCUGUGGUAGACUACCACUUUGAUAGGUCUCAGGUAUAAGUGCAGUGAUGUAUUUAGCCAAGAGAUACUAAUCGACCAAAAGCUUUUUUG
rnacentral:rRNA from 1 species